rfam:Candidatus Accumulibacter sp. SK-11 contig000006, whole genome shotgun sequence.
UCGCCGCGAAUGGGAGAGAGCGGCACUGCCGUCGCCGAAGGCGCAAUCCACCCGGAAACGCUCAGGCAAGAGGACCGUUCGUGCAAU